CAGUGCUUUAGAAAAUGAAUUUCAACAGA
rnacentral:piRNA from 1 species